rnacentral:lncRNA from 1 species
CGGGAUGCCUGGUAGAUCGCGUAAGGGUGAGCAAUCCGCUCCCUUACAGUCUCGAUUCCCAAACCCAGAAGUAUCGGGUUCCCAUACCCAAGGCAGACCCCUCGGCUUCCCACUGGUGAAUCGGUUUCCUGUACUCGAGGAAGACCCCUCGGCUUCCCACUGGUGAAUUGGGUUCCCAUACUCGAGGAAGGCUCCUCAGUUUCCGAGUGGGUGGGUGACCAGGCCGAGCUUGCACGGCCAGCCCAACACCGAUCGCUCGCACCCGUAACCCUAAAGCCAAAAUAAUCAUAAAAAGAAGCUUACUUACAUCAGUGUGGUGCAAUUCGACCUCAGGUUCAACUUUAGAUGAUCUACUUAGCUCCCCAUGACUCUCCUUGUUUGCUUGAAGUUUGGAUGAUGGAUUUUCACACCUAUAUACUAGUCAGUGCGAAAUAAGAAAAGGAUUGAAGGAAAAUAGAGAUG